AUGGACACCGCUGUCGCGGUCGUGUCGCUCCUGUUUCUUCAGCUCCUAGUGACAGCACUGGCCGCUCCGAUCGCCUUGCCUGGCUGCCCGGAGACCUGCGGCGACAUCGCCGUCCCUUACCCAUUCGGCACCCGCGAAGGCUGCUUCCGCCAGGGCUUCGACCUCACAUGCGACGAGUCGCGCCAUCCACCGAAGCUGUCACUGGGCGGUGACCAUGGCGCGGAGGUGGUCGGCAUCUCGUUGCCGGACGGCACGGUGCGGAUCCGCACCAGGAUUCUCGACACGAGCUCCCUCCAGCAGCUCAACGGCACGUGGUCCGCCGGCCUGCGGCCCGGCGGGCCCCUGGCGUUGUCGGCCAGGCACAACCGCUUCGUCGCCAUGGGAUGCAACCUCCUCGCCAACCUCGUGGCGCACGACACGUAUACUCCGCCAGCGACCGCAUCGGCGUCUGCGCGGCGCUCUCCGAGGGACGCCUCCUCCGCCUCCUGCUCCGGCGUCGGCUGCUGCCAGACGCCCGUCGCGCGGGGCCUCUCGUCCUACACCAUCCAGCUCAACGACCUAGCCCAGCGACCUGCCGCUGCCGCUGCCUCCCCACUACUAGUGCACGCGGCAGCGUUCAUUGCUGACCAGAGGUGGUUCAGGGGCCAGCAGGACGCGCUGAAGAAGAACUUCCUCGACGAUCCGCGGAGGCUGGUCCAUUCGACGGUGGUUCCAACGGUGUUGGAAUGGUCGCUCCACGUGGACGCCGAUCAGGAUAUGUUCCUGUCUGAUCCCGGUGUCUCCGAGUGGAAGAGAUGCAUCAGCGUGAACAGCGUCAUUGUCGAGGCCGUCAAUGGAUAUGCUUUCAUCAGAGCACGGUGCAACUGCUCAAGAGGUUACGAGGGGAACCCCUACAUCGCCGAUGGAUGCCAAGAUAUCGACGAGUGCCUACAACCAGAAGCUUAUCCCUGCAAUGGUACCUGUAUCAAUAUGCAAGGGACAUACAGAUGCUCAGCAAAGAAAAGCAUCAUUAACUUAGCAGGUCCAUUUACCAUAACAGCAAUUGUUGUUGGUUUUGGCCUACUGUUUUCACUCCUAGGUGUUGCCCAAGUCAUGAAAAAACUCAAGAAACGAAGAGCCAAGAAGUUUAGACAAAAGUUCUUUAGGAAAAACCAUGGAUUGCUUCUGCAACAGUUGAUCUCUUCAAACAAAGAUAUAGCCGAAAAGAUGAAGAUUUUCAGCUUACACGAGCUAGAGCAAGCAACCAACAAAUUUGACCAUAAUCGGAUCCUUGGUGGCGGUGGGCAUGGCAUGGUGUAUAAAGGCAUCUUAUCUGAUCAACGUGUCGUGGCCAUCAAGAAGGCCAAAAAUGUCGUGCAGAGGGAAAUUGACGAGUUUAUAAAUGAGGUUGUCAUACUUUCACAGACAAACCAUAGGAAUGUGGUGAAGCUCUUUGGUUACUUCCUCGAGACAGAAGUUCCUCUACUAGUUUAUGAGUUCAUAUCAAAUGGAACUCUCUCGUCUUAUCUCCAUGGCCAACUUGAGAACCAUUUAUCAUGGAAAGAUCGAUUGAGGAUUGCAUUGGAAACUGCCAAGGCUAUUUCAUAUCUACACUCAGCUGCUUCCAUAUCAGUAUACCAUAGAGAUAUCAAAUCUGCCAAUAUACUACUUACUGAUACUUUAACAGCAAAAGUAUCGGAUUUUGGAGCUUCGAGGUCAAUUGCAAUAGAUGAAACAGGAAUACUUACAGUCGUCCAAGGAACCUAUGGUUACCUUGAUCCUGAAUACUACUACACUAGUCGACUGACGGAGAAGAGUGAUGUUUAUAGCUUUGGUGUCAUCUCAGCAGAGCUACUAACGGGGGUUACACCGGUUUUUUCUUCUCAUUCAUCGGAAGCCACAAGCCUAGCAUCACACUUUGUAUCACUAAUGAGAGACAAUUGUCUGUUAGCUAUUCUAGAUACACAAGUUGUUCUUGAAGGAGUAGUUGAAGAUGUUGAGGUGGUUGCAAGACUUGCACAUGCAUGCUUAAGCUUAAAAGGGGAAGAAAGACCUACAAUGAGGGAAGUUGAAACAAUACUUGAAGAUGUGCAGAGCUCAAAUAUCCAUCACAAUUCUCAGACAAUAAGAGUGAGCCAGAGUCCUCUGAAAGACCAGCCAUGGAAGGGGAACAAUGGUGGCGAAGGAACUAGAGUAUAUAGCUUGGAAAAGGAGUUCAUCCAUUCAUUGGAAAUUCCAAGAUGA
rnacentral:rRNA from 1 species